GCUGCAUGGCUGUCGUCAGCUCGUGUUGUGAAAUGUUGGGUUAAGUCCCGCAACGAGCGCAACCCUUAUCCUUUGUUGCCAGCGGUCCGGCCGGGAACUCAAAGGAGACUGCCAGUGAUAAACUGGAGGAAGGUGGGGAUGACGUCAAGUCAUCAUGGCCCUUACGACCAGGGCUACACACGUGCUACAAUGGCGCAUACAAAGAGAAGCGACCUCGCGAGAGCAAGCGGACCUCAUAAAGUGCGUCGUAGUCCGGAUUGGAGUCUGCAACUCGACUCCAUGAAGUCGGAAUCGCUAGUAAUCGUGGAUCAGAAUGCCACGGUGAAUACGUUCCCGGGCCUUGUACACACCGCCCGUCACACCAUGGGAGUGGGUUGCAAAAGAAGUAGGUAGCUUAACCUUCGGGAGGGCGCUUACCACUUUGUGAUUCAUGACUGGGGUGAAGUCGUAACAAGGUAACCGUAGGGGAACCUGCGGUUGGAUCACCUCCUU
rnacentral:rRNA from 1 species